AUCCUUUUAAGAUUCAUAAGCAUAAUGAUUGGGUUUUCACACUUUCAUGUGAGAUAUUCCUACUUCUAACCUUAUUACUAUAUUGGCGCCUUACUCAGUUGACA